rnacentral:rRNA from 1 species
GACGAACGCUGGCGGCGUGCCUAAUACAUGCAAGUCGAGCGAGUGGAUUAAGAGCUUGCUCUUAUGAAGUUAGCGGCGGACGGGUGAGUAACACGUGGGUAACCUGCCCAUAAGACUGGGAUAACUCCGGGAAACCGGGGCUAAUACCGGAUAACAUUUUGAACCGCAUGGUUCGAAAUUGAAAGGCGGCUUCGGCUGUCACUUAUGGAUGGACCCGCGUCGCAUUAGCUAGUUGGUGAGGUAACGGCUCACCAAGGCAACGAUGCGUAGCCGACCUGAGAGGGUGAUCCGCCACACUGGGACUGAGACACGGCCCAGACUCCUACGGGAGGCAGCAGUAGGGAAUCUUCCGCAAUGGACGAAAGUCUGACGGAGCAACGCCGCGUGAGUGAUGAAGGCUUUCGGGUCGUAAAACUCUGUUGUUAGGGAAGAACAAGUGCUAGUUGAAUAAGCUGACACCUUGACGGUACCUAACCAGAAAGCCACGGCCAACUACGUGCCAGCCGCCGCCGUAA